UACGGGGUUAACUCCCAACCCCAAUGUGAACGUUACCAAUCUGUUGCCUCGGCGGGAUUCUCUUGCCCCGGGCGCGUCGCAGCCCCGGAUCCCAUGGCGCCCGCCGGAGGACCAACUCCAAACUCUUUUUUCUCUCCGUCGCGGCUCCCGUCGCGGCUCUGUUUCAUUUUUGCUCUGAGCCUUUCUCGGCGACCCUAGCGGGCGUCUCGAAAAUGAAUCAAAACUUUCAACAACGGAUCUCUUGGUUCUGGCAUCGAUGAAGAACGCAGCGAAAUGCGAUAAGUAAUGUGAAUUGCAGAAUUCAGUGAAUCAUCGAAUCUUUGAACGCACAUUGCGCCCGCCAGUAUUCUGGCGGGCAUGCCUGUCCGAGCGUCAUUUCAACCCUCGAACCCCUCCGGGGGGUCGGCGUUGGGGAUCGGCCCCUCACCGGGCCGCCCCCGAAAUACAGUGGCGGUCUCGCCGCAGCCUCUCCUGCGCAGUAGUUUGCACACUCGCACCGGGAGCGCGGCGCGGCCACAGCCGUAAAACACCCCAAACUUCUGAAAUGUUGACCUCGGAUCAGGUAGGAAUACCCGCUGAACUUAAGCAUAUCAAUAAACCGGAGGAA
rnacentral:rRNA from 1 species